AGUGAACGCUGGCGGUAGGCCUAACACAUGCAAGUCGAACGGCAGCACAGUAAGAGCUUGCUCUUACGGGUGGCGAGUGGCGGACGGGUGAGGAAUACAUCGGAAUCUACUUUUUCGUGGGGGAUAACGUAGGGAAACUUACGCUAAUACCGCAUACGACCUACGGGUGAAAGCAGGGGAUCUUCGGACCUUGCGCGAUUGAAUGAGCCGAUGUCGGAUUAGCUAGUUGGCGGGGUAAAGGCCCACCAAGGCGACGAUCCGUAGCUGGUCUGAGAGGAUGAUCGGCCCCCCUGGAACUGAGCACCGGCCCAGACCCCUACGGGGGGCAGCAGGGGGGAAUUUUGGCCAAUGGGCGCAAGCCUGUUCCAGCUUUCCCGGGUGGGUGAAGAAGGCCUUCGGGUUGUAAAGCCCUUUUUUUGGGAAAGAAAAGCAGCAGGUUAAUACCCCGCUGUUCUGCCGGUACCCAAAGAAUAAGCCCCGGCUAACUUCGU
rnacentral:rRNA from 1 species